rnacentral:misc_RNA from 1 species
AAAAUUUUGAAGCAGAUCACGUAAGCUUUGUCUAGACAACGCAUUAAUUGCUAUUUUCCAUGUAUUAUUUAAUUUUUUAACAUUUUAUCCAGUGCUGUCAGAUUGAAGUGUUUCAUGCGUUGCUACAGAUGAUUUAGGGUCAGGUAUCCUGGCAGUAGUAGAUGCCAGAGAUGAGUUACUUGUUCAUCAGCAUCGCCAGUGAGUCUGGUAUUUUGCAAAUCAGUGAGAUAAGAAAAUAAGGUCCCUUCUUCUUAUCAUGAUAAUUCUCCCACCUUUUUGAUAACGGCCUGCUGGACAGGGUGAUUGGUCACAGCCAUAAAGCGAGCUGUGGGGCUCUGUUUUUGACAAUGUCUAACUGAUCCAAACAAACCCUAAUAUAUCUGGAGGGAGAAAAUUUUCAAAUAAAUUUCUUUCAAGUUUCAAAUUCAUUCUAACCAAAAAAUGAAAAUGUGGUGGAGCCAAUGAUCUCAGAAGGAAAUAGACAUGUUACCCCACCAAAGAUUUUAAAAUUCAUCUCAAUCAUUUCCAAGAAAAUUAAGUAAUGCAUAAUUCAAUUUCAAAUCUCAUUACCUCAUAUCUAAGCUCAAUAUCAGAUACAAUAAAAAAAAUUACAGCCCUCCAAAGUACUCAAUGCUCUCAUGCCUCCACUCAAUAGGGAAAAAAAAUCUUCAAUAAUAAUAAUAACUAGGCAACUAGCGAAUUUAGUACUGGGAAGGAAAGGCUUACUGGGAAGGAAAGGCUAAAUAACUGGUUCUUGAAUUUUUCUACUUUGCAGUGCCGUUGGGCAGCUUUGCAGGUUUUCCCUCAGAAGAGUUGAGUUCAUCCCAAGCUUCAAUCCAAGUGACCAUGGCAUCUGCUAGUUUAAUGAAGUAGGGAUCUAGCUUUCCAAGCUUCUCCUUCACCUGCUUGGCAAGUUCAAUAUAGCAUUUCUGAACAGUAGUGCAUUCCUUUGGAAGGACAGCAGAUUGGAAGAAUGGGAUCAGUUCUUCCUGCCAAAAUAUCCCAUUGUACUCCUUUUUAAGGUUAACAAAAGGGUUGCUUGCUUUGCUGUGCCAUAUAUAAGGCAGCCCUGUCUUAACACCCCACCCCAUGUGGUCACAUAUCACCUACAUAGUUCAUCAAUCCAGCAAACUUGAGUUUCCGUUUAUUCUUAUGAACUAACCAGUAAUGCAAUUUGAACAAAUUGAGAAGCAUCAAUAAUUUGAUACUGAAAGUAUUCAGAGUAAAUCUUUAGAUCAUCAUUUCGAAAAACAAGAAAUUUUUGUUUUAAUGCAAUAAUGAUGCUUUGCGUUCCUGACACAUUAUACCCAGGAUUCCAACAGCAAUAGAGAGAGCUUGUCCCCUGAAGAAUUAUUUAAUGCUAAUAACUAGAAUGGAAUAUCUCCCUUUCCUUGAAAUGCCUAGAUGUUCAAAAAGAGAGUGUAGGAUGCAAUGCAACUUUACGUUCAAUAUAUGAACUCAGAAAACAGUCCAAUUUUAAUAGUUUACAGUCUAUCCCAAGAUCUAAAAAAAUCAUAACAUUAUAGAAAACAUACCUUCAUGCACCAACCAGCCCACAUGUCGUCAUAGCGGCCAACUGGCUGACCAUCACCCAUCAGCCCAAAAUACAUUGCAGGUCCAAUCAAUUCACGGUUAAAUGCCAGGUUCAUGCCACACAUUGGGAACA